AUUCCACAAGCAAAACGUGGUACGAUCUGUCAGUGUCGUGAUCGUGAUUUUAGUAAAAUAUAUAAUUAUUAGAAAAUGUUUAUUUCUAACGAUAUGAUAACUGUGUUUACUGUAUCCGCGGUCCUGUCAUUCGUGAUAUCAGUGGCGUUGCUACUGAUAAUAGCUGCGAAGCGAGGCUACAUGAGGGCAGGGAAGUCCAGAACAGGCCAGAUUUUCCUCCUUCCACAGCCCCAGAGCGUGGGUAAACCUUCGGCACCACCCGCCGUGGAGAUGACCCCACUCACCAAACAAUCAGCGUAGGUGAAAACCUUUAAAAAUGGAGUAUCUUGGGGGUGAACAUAUAACCGGUAAUAGCGCCAAGGGGUCAAAAAAGUUAUACAAAUCUGACUUUUAAAAAAUUACUUUGUAACUCUGCUUCGAUUUCUGUAUAGCGUGUCGACAAAAGUCGUUAGUAUUAUAAUUAGAUAAAUAAUUAAAAACUACAGUCAGCUGAAGUCGUUAUUAUAAUAUAAACAAAUUAGUAAUAAGAAACCGUAGCUAUCAUUCCCCUGAAAAAAAGUAUAAUACAUUUCUUUUGCUACUUAAAUAAAGGUAGGUACACAAUAUUGAUAUAUCGUUUUUAUAAAAAAAAUUACUUAUGUAAAAAGUAGCAUCGUGUUAGAGUUAACAGCAAAAGAAAAGAAAUUGUAGCUAUCAUUCCCCUGGCAUGUAUACCGAUUGCGACCCGGAGAGGAGCCCGGGGCCCGCUAAAUAAAAUAUUUUAGUAAAUUCAGAAAGUACGUCCUUACUGCAUGAUUGAUUAUUUAGAUUCUAAUAAUAAUUUCAAAUAUAGGAUUAUUAGUUUAUCGUCAACCAAAAAUUUUCCCUGCUCGUUAGCACGUGUUUAUAACUGUAAGUGCUGUGAGUAUAAGGAAACAAUACAAUGUGUUUUUAUGCACCCCAAGUAUUAUUCAACUAAUUAAUAGUUUCUCAAAUAAAAUUUUAUUACUUGUAAAGGAAUUCUUUUAUGGAAAUAUUUUAACCUUAAAAAAAGAUUGGCCAACAUAUCACUAGAAUAAAUAAAAUUAAAACAUUCCAUAUUUAAAAUCGUUCAAUUUAAAAUAAUGUCAAAAAAAUAAUUUUAAACAAUAAAUCAUUCCAUAAUGCUUAAUAUAGUACUUAUUUCGGUACUUCAAUUUUCAUAUUAUUUAUUCGAAUAUAACAUAAGACAAAUUAGAAUAAUUAUUAAACAAAUUAUAAUUUCUUCUUCACUUAAUGACGAUAAAAAUAUUGUUAGAUGUAAAAUAAUCUGAGGUGCUAAUUUUAUAUGUUAUAUUUUUCAUGUUUAUAUUUUCUGACUAUCUGUUAUAAAAUAUUACUACUUAUAAAUACUAAUUAUAUUUAAAAAAUAUGUAUAUCAUUAUUAAAAACAUUGCUAUAUAAUGAGUUUUUCUAUUCGGGUCAAAUAUAUAUAUAUAUAUAAUUUCAACACAAAAACAAAAUAUAACAGUAUUUCCCAAGCAAAUAUGCAAAAUUUAACACCAAUUGUCAAUGUCUCAUGGGUCAAAUUGAUAAGAAAGAGAAAAUAAAACCUAAUUAACCGAAAUGUUCUUUUAGAACCCGAGGUUCGCCAUUAAAGACUAGACCAGACCUAAAACAGUAUUAAUAUUUACACAACCGUCAACCGAAAACACUGUAACUAUGAAUAAUUCAUGAAAUAUAAUCUAUUUCCCAACCAUAACAGUUUAAUAUCACAGCACAGUGUAUUACUCGAAUAAAUCAAAUGCAUUCAUUUUGGUCAAUUCCAAUUUCACAUAACAAUUGCGCAUAUUAAUAACUUUAUUUAUGAGUCAACUUAGUGAAAUGUGUUAGUUGCAGUGUUAACUAACCAGUAAUAAAUAUUUUAAUGUAAAAAUCUUACGUCACUUUACUUUGAAUAAGAUUUACGAUAAAAUAAAAAAGUUGACUUUUUAUGCCAAAAAUUGUAUUCUUUCCAAAAUUAAUUUUAUGUUCUGUAGCUAUAAAUUGAAUUGAAAAUUAAUACAUUCAUACAUAAAAUCAUGCGUUUUUUCCGGAGGGGUAGACAGAGGCUACAUCUUUCCAAUUCUCUGCUCUCUUCUCGCAAGACGGUUUCAAGUACUUUUGCCAGAACGUCCAUAAUUUGAUCAAGGUCGUCUAGUUAUUUCAUUAAUUUUUAUAUAUUGUGUUAUAAAUUGAAUUAAAAAUGUAUUUAUGUAACAAACAAACGUAUAAAGUAUACGUAUAUAGGUAUAUUUUUCGCAACAUUAUUCAUAAAAUAGUAAAACAACAAACAUUAUCAAACCAUCUCCUAAUUAAUUGAUAGAUGGGACUUAUCCUUUUCAAAUCUCCUGGGUUUUAUAAAAGGCGAACGUAGUAGUUAUAAUUACAACAAGGGAUUUGAGAUGAACUUGAUUAAUGUUAUUUAUAUCUACUGUUUUUUGCUUACAAAAUAUUUCCUUUCUUUUCUCUUUUUUAUCUGUGUAAUUUUUUUAUAAAUUAAACUGAAUUUACUGUCUUAAUUCCAUCAUAAAGCCAUAUAGCCGAACGUGGCUUUGCAGUUUUUCAAUACGUAUUGCUCUGUCUACCCCGCGAGGGAUAUAGACUUGACAAUUUAUUUACAACUUUAUUGAGUCUCAAGUGUAAAAUAGGUUGACUGCUAAUAGGAUUCUCUACUAGUCAACGUUUAAGAAAAUAAAAAACAGAUAAAUAAUCCAAAAGUAAAAAAAAAACAUAAG